GGGGCCGUGGGGAGGGCAGG
rnacentral:misc_RNA from 1 species